rnacentral:rRNA from 1 species
UACGAAGGGGGCUAGCGUUGCUCGGAAUCACUGGGCGUAAAGGGCGCGUAGGCGGCCAUUCAAGUCGGGGGUGAAGCCUGUGGCUCAACCACAGAAUUGCCUUCGAUACUGUUUGGCUUGAGUUUGGUAGAGGUUGGUGGAACUGCGAGUGUAGAGGUGAAAUUCGUUGAGAUAUUCGUCAAGAACACCAGUGGCGAAGGCGGCCAACUGGACCAACAC